rnacentral:rRNA from 1 species
UGGGGAAUUUUGCACAAUGGGGGAAACCCUGAUGCAGCGACGCCGCGUGAUUUAGAAGGCCUUCGGGUUGUAAAAAUCUUUUGUAUGGGAAGAAAAUGACAGUACCAUACGAAUAAGGACCGGCUAAUUACGUGCCAGCAGCCGCGGUAAUACGUAAGGUCCGAGCGUUGUCCGGAAUCAUUGGGCGUAAAGGGUACGUAGGCGGAUAAGCAAGUUAGAAGUGAAAUCCUAUAGCUCAACUAUAGUAAGCUUUUAAAACUGCUCAUCUUGAGGUAUGGAAGGGAAAGUGGAAUUCCUAGUGUAGCGGUGAAAUGCGCAGAUAUUAGGAGUAAUACCGGUGGCGAAGGCGACUUUCUGGACUUUUACUGACGCUCAGGUACGAAAGCGUGGGGAGCAAACAGG